rnacentral:rRNA from 1 species
CCGGUCUUGACAUCUACGGAACCCUCUCGAAACGGAGGGGUGCCUUUCGGGGAGCCGUAAGACAGGUGCUGCAUGGCUGUCGUCAGCUCGUGUCGUGAGAUGUUGGGUUAAGUCCCGCAACGGGCGCAACCCCUAUCCUCAGUUGCCAUCAUUAAGUUGGGCACUCUGUGGAGACUGCCGGUGUCAAACCGGAGGAAGGUGGGGAUGACGUCAAGUCCUCAUGGCCCUUAUGACCAGGGCUACACACGUGCUACAAUGGCCGGUACAAAGAGUUGCGAUACCGCGAGGUGGAGCUAAUCUCAUAAAGCCGGUCUCAGUUCGGAUUGGAGUCUGCAACUCGACUCCAUGAAGUUGGAAUCGCUAGUAAUCGCGGAUCAGCACGCCGCGGUGAAUACGUUCCCGGGCCUU